GUGCAGCAGGCGCGAAACCUCACACUGUGCGAAAGCACGAUGAGGGAAUCCCAAGUGCUUGCACGUAAGUGUAAGCUGUUUCUCUGUCUAAAACGCAGAGAGAGUAAGGGCUGGGUAAGACGGGUGCCAGCCGCCGCGGUAACACCGGCGGCCCGACUGGUGACCACUACUACUGGGCCUAAAGCGUCCGUAACCGGACCUGUAAAUCCUUAGUGAAAUCCGCCGGCUCAACCGGCGGGCGUGCUUAGGAGACUGCAGGUCUUGGGGACCGGGAGGGGGUGGGGGUACUGCCCGGGUAGGGGUAAAAUCCUAUAAUGCGGGUAGGACCACCGGUAGCGAAGGCGCCCACCUGGAACGGGUCCGACGGCGAGGGACGAAGGCCAGGGGAGCGAACGGGAUUAGAUA
rnacentral:rRNA from 1 species